rnacentral:rRNA from 1 species
GACGAACGCUGGCGGCGUGCUUAACACAUGCAAGUCGAACGGUAAGGCCCUUUCGGGGGUACACGAGUGGCGAACGGGUGAGUAACACGUGGGUGACCUGCCCUCGAGCGGGGGAUAACUGCCCGAAAGGGUGGCUAAUACCGCAGAUGUCGUGCAUUCGGUUGUGCGACUGAACUUCUGGGGUUCGAGGAGGGGCCCGCGGCCUAUUAGCUCGCUGGUGGGGUAAUGGCCUACCAGGGCAUCGAUCGGUAGCUGGUCUGAGAGGAUGAUCAGCCAGACUGGGACUGCGAACGGCCCAGACUCCUACGGGAGGCAGCAGUUAGGAAUUUUGGGCAAUGGGCGAAAGCCUGACCCAGCAACGCCGCGUGGGUGAUGAAGGCCCUCGGGUCGUAAAGCCCUUUUCCCAGGGAAGAUGAUGACGGUACCUGGGGAAUCAGCCCCGGCUAACUACGUGCCAGCAGCCGCGGUAAUACGUAGGGGGCAAGCGUUGUCCGGAUUUAUUGGGCGUAAAGCGCUCGCAGGUGGUCCGAUGCGUCGUGCGUGAAAGACCCCGGCUCAACUGGGGGGUGUCGUGCGAUACGGUCGGACUGGAGGCCAGUAGGGGGAUGCGGAAUUCCGGGUGUAGUGGUGGAAUGCGUAGAGAUCCGGAGGAACACCAGCGGCGAAAGCGGCAUCCUGGACUGGUCCUGACACUCAGAGCGAAAGCGUGGGGAGCAAACAGGAUUAGAUACCCUGGUAGUCCACGCCGUAAACGUUGGGCGCUAGGUGUGGGGAACCUUCCACGUUCUCCGUGCCGUAGCUAACGCAUUAAGCGCCCCGCCUGGGGAGUACGGCCGCAAGUAAA